rnacentral:rRNA from 1 species
GACGAACGCUGGCGGCGUGCUUAACACAUGCAAGUCGAGCGGUAAGGCCCUUUCGGGGGUACACGAGCGGCGAACGGGUGAGUAACACGUGGGUGACCUGCCCUUAGCUCUGGGAUAAGCCUGGGAAACUGGGUCUAAUACCGGAUAUGACUCCAUGACGCAUGUUGUGGGGUGGAAAGCCUUGUGCGGCUAGGGAUGGGCCCGCGGCCUAUCAGCUUGUUGGUGGGGUGAUGGCCACCAAGGCGACGACGGGUAGCCGGCCUGAGAGGGCGACCGGCCACACUGGGACUGAGACACGGCCCAGACUCCUACGGGAGGCAGCAGUGGGGAAUCUUGCGCAAUGGGCGAAAGCCUGACGCAGCGACGCCGCGUGAGGGAUGACGGCCUCGGUUGUAA